CAGUAGCCGCGGUAAUACGUAGGGUGCAAGCGUUAAUCGGAAUUACUGGGCGUAAAGCGUGCGCAGGCGGUUAUAUAAGACAGAUGUGAAACCCCCGGGCUCAACCUGGGAACUGCAUUUGUGACUGUAUAGCUAGAGUACGGCAGAGGGGGAUGGAAUUCCGCGUGUAGCAGUGAAAUGCGUAGAUAUGCGGAGGAACACCGAUGGCGAAGGCAAUCCCCUGGGCCUGUACUGACGCUCAUGCACGAAAGCGUGGGGAGCAAACAGGAUUAGAUACCCCCGUAGUCCCUGUCUCUUAUAC
rnacentral:rRNA from 1 species